rnacentral:rRNA from 1 species
UACGUAGGGGGCGAGCGUUGUCCGGAAUUACUGGGCGUAAAGCGCGCGUAGGCGGCGCGGCGCAUCUGCAGUGAAAGCCCUGGGCUCAACCCAGGGAGGCCUGUGGAGAUGGCCGUGCUGGAGGGCAGUAGAGGCAAGCGGAAGUCCCGAAGUAGUGGUGAAAUGCGUAGAGAUCGGGAGGAACACCCGAGGCGAAGGCGGCUUGCUGGGCUGCGCCUGACGCUGAGGCGCGAAAGCUAGGGGAG